ensembl:lncRNA
AAGAAAACUUGAUAUAUUUCUCUGUGUGAUUUUUUUUUUUCCCAGAUAAGUCAUUCAGUUCAUUGUGGAAUUCAGGUACAUUAAGGUUUAGUGAACAGUGCACUCAGUAAUUCCUAUGUGACUAUGUGAUGUGGUACAAAUAUUGUAGGUGUCACAGACAAAAGCACUUGUCUUAUGUGCACAGGGAAGAGAUUAGACCUGUGAAAUUAUAUUUGGAAAAAUUAAUGUCUACAAGUGACCUGUUCGUCCAGUAUUUAUUCUUUCCUGCCAGCUCUGUCCACUCCCUCACCAUCAGCUAUAAAUUGAAAAAUGCUUGACCAAGCAUUUGCGUGGCUGCAUAUAUAUAUCUGCCCACAGGAGGAGAGACAGUGAAAAAUCCUGACAUAAGCCUGUCCUACAAAGCAAGGGCGAAGGGGGAUUUCUCGAGAUGUCUUUUCAUAGCGCCUAAGUGAAGAGUGACAGGUUGGCUUCCUUGAGUCCUCGUGUUUUGUUCUAACUUCAGGCAGAAUCAAUCUUUAACCACUUGGGCCUCUGUUUCCUCCACAGCAGGGGAGUCCUAACAUUUACCUCCCUCACAGAGUUGUUGUGGGGACUGUGUCCUGAUGGGGAGUGGACUGUCCAGACCGAACCCUGUGUGAACUUCCAAGGGCCUUUCUACUGAACCUAGAGAUGGGAACCGUGGCAGUGUUUCUGCCACAACUGUUCUUCACAGUGUUGGUGCUAAUGAGGCCAGGGUGCAGGGUCUGACUCACACGUAGGCCAGUUAACUCGACAGAAAAAUUGAUUUCCUUACCUCUAGCCAGUCGCUAGGUUUUCCUGCGGUUGUGAUGGGUUUUGCUGAGCCAUCCAGACUCUCACCAGCUUCCUCUGAGUUAUUUAAACACAUUUACAGUUCAAAGCACAUUGUAGUGAUGGAACAGUAGCAUUGCCUUUAAAAAUCCAGCAGCUUACUUUUCCAUCUCCUCUGCAACCCUAAAUGAGCACACAUCUAUGAAGUGUUUUCAAGGAAAAAAGCAGCCGCUAGUGCCGUGAAGUAUUAUAUUUUUAAGUAACUCUGAAACAGCUUGAUGCAGGGAGUCCUGGCACUCAGGAAGAGUUGUGCUCUUUUCUGCCUGGGACAUUUAGGGUUGGAAGGGGUCAGGCAUAGUUAGAUGGUGGUUUAGGUUGUUCUUCCGCUGACUGUGAUGACAUGCCAGGCUGUGUCUUUACAAAUCUGGAUCCCUCCUUCUUUCCUUAUCCCCUUUUGUACCGACUUCCUUUUUAUUUAUUUAUUUUCUAAUUAGGGGCCAAGUCUGUAAAGUUUUGUCAAACUGAGUUAGAAGUUAUUCGUUGCUAUUUGUGUUUACCAGAGUUGGGAGAUGAGGUAGAGUUUUCAUGAAGGUGUGUAUGUUUUACACCAUGUCUGUUCAGGGCCACACGGUGGUAACUUGAAACAGAUCGGUUAAUGUCUUCGGAACCUAAGCCUCUGUGUACAUGGGGUGUCUCUGUCUUACAUUGCAUGCAAGUUGUUUGUACCUCACAAGCUACAGAAGUUCAGCCAUGGGAAUUUGUUUGGCACAUGAAGAGAUUCUUAUAUAAAACUGCAAUGGUCUUUUAACUGCUCCCCCACUCCCCGAUUUCUUGAUCCCUUAAGUACAUUUAUAUUCCUCUCAGUUAUUAACUUUUUGUUUGCCUUCUCUGGGCCUACUUUUUAUGCUUUAUACCUGGAAAACAAAAAUUUCAGUCACCAGGAUUUUUUUCAAGGUUAGGAUUACACCACCUUUGAUAACAUGCUGUGGUUUCUGUGUCCGUAUCUAAGGUCUCGGCUUAAAAUUGGCAAAUGUAAGAAAGUGGUUACAUAAUUCAGUUGAAGUUCUUGGUCUUUAGAUGUUUAGGUAUCUACUGUGUGUAAGACACAAGACCAGUAAUCACGCAGGGUGAUGUUGACCUGUUAAGGAUUCUUUGAAACAUGGCCAAAAUGCAUUUUGUGAGUUGAUUACUAUUUUUGCUGUUGUAACUAUUAGUGGUUUACAGUGUGUUUUAGUGCAUAUUACUUAAAAGCUCCAUAGUGAGAAAUAAGACCCCUCUGAAUUGAGCAGUGCUGGCCAUUUCUAACCUGAAAACCUAGAAUGUUAACUUCCCAACAUCUGGAAUACGUGGUGUGCGCAAACAGUGCCUCAUGAAUGAGUUUGAGCUUUUACAAAGAAAGCACCAUGUUCCUCAAAGUUUGUAUUUUUGUUGAUAAAACAUUAAAUAAUGUAUAUCCUGUUUAUUACUUUUUCUUCCUCAGCUAAUUAUGCUCUGCCCUGUAAGCUGAAAGUUCGCCAUCCAUUAUUUAUCUUCUGAGGCAGUGGGUUUAUAUGGUUUGGUGGGUGGGGAGUUUUUUGUCAAAGAUACAAAGUGACUGGAUUUUUACUUCCCAUUGCAGGAAGCUUUAACAUUAAUUUCUUGUAUAUUUUUUCCAAUUUCCAUGUAAACUGUUCCUGUUUACAUACCUUCCCAGUCUUAUGAGUUCUUGGACUCUACCAACAAGAUAGUUUACCUAAAACUCAAGAGGGCUUUUCAGCAUUGCUUUUAUUGCCCUUUGCUUCUCAAACCUGUAUGUUACACUGGUUUGGUAAUCUUUUGUCUUUGUUGAAAUACUAAUUUCUGUGCUAUUUCUCCUCAAGGAAAUACACUGUCUUUAUAUAUUCUUAAGAAAAAAAGAAUAAAAAAGGGUAUCUUCCUUUCAUUUCUGAGUUGGAAACAAAAAUAUGAAGGACUCCAACUAGAAGAUAGACAUUCACAUUUAAAUAGGGCAAGGCAUGAGUUACAGAGACUGAAGAGUAUUGUAGAUUGUACUAUGUGCCUUCUUGAUGUGUUUCUGGACACACACUUUUACAUCAACUUGAAAAACUCAAAAGGGACAUUUGGUUAGAUUAUAUACUGUACAUCAAUCUAUGCAUAAAUGGCAGCUUGUUUUCUUGAGCCACUGUCUAAAUUUUUUUGUUUUUAUAGAAAUUUUUUAUACUGAUUGGUUCAUAGAUGGUCAGUUUUAUAGAGUGAACAAUACAGCACUUUGCCAAAAACAAGUGUAGCAUUGCUUAAACAUUGUGUAUUGACACCAGUUCUUUGUGAUUGGAUUCAGUGGUGCAUUCUGCACUGCCUGAAGUUAUGGUUUUUACUCGUCAGUAAAUAAAAUGUCUUUUAAUGUCACAC